AGUGAACGCUGGCGGUAGGCCUAACACAUGCAAGUCGAACGGCAGCACAGUAAGAGCUUGCUCUUACGGGUGGUGAGUGGCGGACGGGUGAGGAAUACAUCGGAAUCUACUUUUUCGUGGGGGAUAACGUAGGGAAACUUACGCUAAUACCGCAUACGACCUACGGGUGAAAGCAGGGGAUCUUCGGACCUUGCGCGAUUGAAUGAGCCGAUGUCGGAUUAGCUAGUUGGCGGGGUAAAGGCCCACCAAGGCGACGAUCCGUAGCUGGUCUGAGAGGAUGAUCAGCCACACUGGAACUGAGACACGGUCCAGACUCCUACGGGAGGCAGCAGUGGGGAAUAUUGGACAAAGGGCGCAAGCCUGAUCCAGCCAUACCGCGUGGGUGAAGAAGGCCUUCGGGUUGUAAAGCCCUUUUGUUGGGAAAGAAAAGCAGCAGGUUAAUACCCCGCUGUUCUGACGGUACUCAAAGAAUAAGCACCGGCUAACUUCGUG
rnacentral:rRNA from 1 species